GCCCGCUUCCUCGCCCGAAUCCCUUGUGCCCUAACCGCAGAGGCGGUUUCCUCUCCUCCUACUUCUUCUCCUUCUCUUCAUUUCUUCUGCCCGAUGCCACUUCAUCUCCUUCUCCUUCUCCACACCAGCGACGCCGACUCGACAGCCCUAGCGCCGGCCACCGCGAGCCCUAGCCAUCGUCUUGGCCGCGCCUUCUCCACCCGACAGCGCCGGCGACACUCGAGCAGACGCCGCCGAGGACCCAACUCUAGCCUCUGCCCCGACUCCAGCGACGCCGUCCCUGUGCCCUAGUUCACCACCGCCUCACCGAUUCUCAUCUUCCUCGCUCCGUCGGUGCCCUAGGUUCAUCGCCGGCGCAUCUCUGUGGGGUUGCUUCUGGCCAGGAGCAAGGUAUCGGUGCCCUAGUCUCCAGCCAACGUCUCCUUCUCGCCGGCAGCCGAGUCCCUCCCACCAGCCGACCGUCGGUCUUUCUCCCGAUUUCGUGCCGCCACUACAGCAGACGCCUAUCUCCCUUAGCCACUGAAUGUCUGGCACCGUUUGUGGUGUUGCUGCAGGUCUCCACCCUUAGAUUUUUGGCUAUGGUGAUUCCUGUUGAUUGCUACACAAGAUCAUAAUAGGAAAGGGGCGUAAAUUCUGACAGGGGUCAGUGGUUCUUGUCUCUCACAGCUGUAUUAGAUCCUUCACCGAGUUGUGCAGAUUUAAAUUGGGACUUUGAUUCGAGACGAGUAUCUCGAUUAUCAGAUUGGACCAUUUCAAUUGGAGG